CAGUCGAACGAGAAGCAGGAGCUUGCUCCUGUGGAAAGUGGCGGACGGGCGAUUAAACAUAGGAAAUCUGCCUUAGGGUGGGGGACAACAGAGGGAAACUUCUGCUAAUACCCCAUAUGAGUUUGGUUGAAAUACCAAUCUUGAAAGUUCCGGCGCCCUAAGAUGAGCCUGUGCCUGAUUAGCUAGUUGGUGGUGUAAUGGACUACCAAGGCGACGAUCAGUAGCUGGUUUGAGAGGAUGAUCAGCCACAAUGGGACUGAGACACGGCCCAUACUCCUACGGGAGGCAGCAGUAGGGAAUUUUGCGCAAUGGGCGAAAGCCUGACGCAGCAACACCGCGUGAAUGUUAAGCCCUUCGGGGUGUAAAGUUCUGUCAAUAGGGACGAAUUUUGACUGUACCUAUAAAGGAAGCACCGGCUAACUCCGUGCCAGCAGCCGCGGUAAUACGGGGGGUGCAAGCGUUGUCCGGAAUCAUUGGGCGUAAAGCGUUCGUAGGCGGCAAGGUAAGUCUGAUGUUAAAGCCCGGGGCUCAACUCCGGUUCGGCAUUGGAUACUAUCUAGCUAGAAUGUGGUAGAGGUAAAGGGAAUUCCUGGUGUAGCGGUGAAAUGCGUAGAUAUCAGGAGGAACAUCGGUGGCGAAAGCGCUUUACUGGACCAUUAUUGACGCUGAGGAACGAAAGCCAGGGGAGCAAAUGGGAUUAGAUACCCCUGUAGUCCACGCCGUANACGAUGAGUGCUAAGUGUUGGGGGUNGAACCUCAGUGCUGAAGUUAACGCAUUAAGCACUCCGCCUGGGGAGUACGGUCGCAAGACUGAAACUCAAAGGAAUUGACGGGG
rnacentral:rRNA from 1 species